rnacentral:rRNA from 1 species
AGAGGAACACUGCAUGCUCUAGUACGGCGAGUGAGCGGCAAUAGCUCAAAUUUGAAAUCUGGCCUCCCCCGGGGGUGAGAGUUGUUUUUUACAGAAUACGUCUGGGGCGCGGCCCCCGUCUAUGUUCCUUGAAACAGGACGUCAGAGAGGGUGAGAAUCCCGUCUUGGGGGGGCGGCCCCCUCCCGUGUGCUCCUCCUUCGACUAGUCGAGUUUGUUGGUAAUGCUGUUAUUGGCAGGUGAUAUAUUUCUAAAAAUGAUAAAUGCCGGCAGAACACCGAUGCCGCACAAGAAUAAUGAUAAAAAGGUUAAAACCUCCUUGAAAAAGGAGUUAAACACCUGGUGAAAUUGAAGAGAAGGAAACUGUAGCCGCAAUAGUUGGGGGGGGGGGUUCGGCCUUCGCUCGUCGCCCGUCGCCUGGCCGCUCCCCGGGCCAGCCUGGGGUUCCACGGUCGGACAAAGGGCCCCGGAAUGUGUCGUCUCUGGGGACGUCUUAUGUGAUGCGGUGCAAUGCGGCCCGUGUAGACUCUUGAACGCGCU